ACGGACGAAGGUGCUGCUAUGUGCUGCUACCUACGCAAUCCUAUUCCGUCGUCUCUGCUUAUAGAUCCCACUCAUUUUUUAAGUUGCAGGUAGUUUUGAUUUUCAUCAUCCUCUAACUCUCAGCAGAUCUCUCUCUCUCUCUCUCUCUCUCUCUCUCUCUCUCAUGACGAUAUCCUCAAUGUUCCUCUCCUUCUCUUCUCUCCCCCGUCCAUCAUCUCUUCCUCCAUUUCCAUCUCCAUUCAUCUCUCCCCAAAACUCCCCCUUCUUCAACACCUCCAUCGUCCUCUCUCUCAAUCCCCCACAAGAAAGAGUCCCACCACAAGAGCUUUCACAGGCUAGCAAUAAUACAAAGAAGCCAUCAAAGACAAGGACCUCGCCCAAACACUUCGCUUCUUGAAAUCCGUCAAAUCCCUUCCCCUCCAAUCCUCUCUCGAUGGCGACAGCAGCAGCGCCGGUCUUUUGCAGCUACAGUGGCCAAAGAGGGACUGGGAAGUGCUCGACACUUGCUUGAAUGCCGAUGACAUGAAGCUCGUCAGCAGCGCCUACAAGUUCCCCCACUACAGGGGCUUCCUCCCUGAUAUUGGGAAGUGCAAGAACAUCAGAAUGCAGUGGAACCAUCAGAUGGAUCACUCAUCUGUACCAUACAUAAAGUGGGGAGGUCCUUGUGGGCAUACCACUACCAAAGGAAAGUAGAGCCAUUAGAACUGGAAUGUGGUAGCGCCAUCCCUCUACUGUAUUUUCAUUGGUCAUGAGCAUGUGUCAACCGAGACCAUCAAUUGAGCUUGUCCAUCUAGUAGGACCCAUAUCAGAUCAUGUUCCAAAAGAAACAUUUAUUUUGUUCAUUUUAUAUAUACAUAAACAAACACACACACACAGAGCAUGAUAGAAGUCACAUGAGUCAAUGAGAGUUGCAAUCAAUCAAACAAGUUCCAACCUCCCCCUGCAUUGACCAAUCAACAGAAGUUAAGCCAAGCAGCCACAUCUAGUAUCAAAUUAUUUGCCUUGUUUGUUUGAACGAAUAGGAGAUCUAGUUUGAGAAUGUUAUGAAAAUGUAGCCAAUUGAGAUUACAAUCAUAUGUUUUUCUAGCCUAAGAAAAGAAAAUGAAGUUUUGCCUCCCUCUUGAGGGCAGUUAUUCUUUGAUCCUGUAUUUUUUCAUCUGCAUCCUUAACACACAUCAAACUAAAGUACAUGAAUGUUUAUGACAUAGUUCAAUCAUGUUCAUGCAUGAUGCAAUAACAAUUCACUUGCCACCUUGCAAUUGCUUUCCAUUGAAUCUAGGUCCAAGGAAUUCUUAUAUCAUGCAUGAUUGUCACAUGCACCUCUAUGAGACAGGUGGAAACAUGACGAAAUCCAGACAGCUUUUCCAGCAGCCUCAAUGUGGAUGCUCAUAGUCAAACGGAUUGAUCAAAGAGAUUAAUUUUAGAGUGGGAUGUUAAAAGAAAAGCAGAUGGAAGGUUUGAAUGCAGUUGGAAUCACCCUGCCAUUGACCCUACUUGUACAAAUUGACAAAUUGAGGCUAUCAUGUACUAUUCUUUCCAAGGAUCAUAUACAAUCUAGAUCAUCAGAUAAUGUGCUUGGUGGUAACGCAUGAGAUAGGCGACCCGAAUCACGUUAUUAUCUAUAGUAUGAUCAAAUGGGAGGGUCUCAUCAGUCUUAGUUCUUACAUUUAACAAAUGUUGCUGAAUCUUCAA